rnacentral:rRNA from 1 species
AUUGAACGCUGGCGGCAUGCCUUACACAUGCAAGUCGAACGGCAGCACGGGUGCUUGCCCCUGGUGGCGAGUGGCGAACGGGUGAGUAAUACAUCGGAACAUGUCCUGUAGUGGGGGAUAGCCCGGCGAAAGCCGGAUUAAUACCGCAUACGAUCUACGGAUGAAAGCGGGGGCCCUUCGGGCCUCGCGCUAUAGGGUUGGCCGAUGGCUGAUUAGCUAGUUGGUGGGGUAAAGGCCUACCAAGGCGACGAUCAGUAGCUGGUCUGAGAGGACGACCAGCCACACUGGGACUGAGACACGGCCCAGACUCCUACGGGAGGCAGCAGUGGGGAAUUUUGGACAAUGGGCGAAAGCCUGAUCCAGCAAUGCCGCGUGUGUGAAGAAGGCCUUCGGGUUGUAAAGCACUUUUGUCCGGAAAGAAAUCCUUGGCCCUAAUACGGUCGGGGGAUGACGGUACCGGAAGAAUAAGCACCGGCUAACUACGU